UAUAUAUAUAUAUAUAUAUAUAUAUAUAUAUAUAUAGCUGUCUUCAGUUGCAACUUUGAUAUCAAGCAAUAGCACCCUCUAAAAUUUGAUUAAGAUCUGAUGCCUAUUUAUUCACACACAAAAAAAAAGAAAAAAAAAAGAGAUUAAUUAAUUAGAUGAUGGUGAUAUUAGUUAGUUAGGUUGGCUAUAAAAAUUAUGAAAAAUCAUCGGAUCAUCAAGAGCACGAUAUUCAACCAAUUAUCUGUAAAAUUAAUCCCAAUAUAUAUCAAAAUUAAUUAAGGGAUAUAUAAAUAUAAAGAAUGAAUUGAACAAGUCUGAAAACAUCAUUUAAAAACUUUUUUAAAUCUAAAACCAAGAACUUUAACAAAAUCCAAAUAAAUGAGAUAUACAUGUACCAAAAAUGGAAAUAUUCCGGCCCUCCAAUGAAUAAUAGUACUGGUGAAUAAUUAAGCCAAGAGGAAGCUAGGGCUGGAGAGGAGAAUUGAAGAACAAAUUAAUAAGAGGAGAGAGAAAUAUAAGGAAGAAAGAGAAAGGAAGAAGAAAGUAUGAGUAGGAGGGGUUUGAGUUAUAAAACCAGCGCUGGUAGCUUUAACCAUGAAAAUCACCAGAAAUUCCUCCACUUUAACUGAAGCCAGUGAGAUAAAGAAAAAGUUGUCUC
rnacentral:lncRNA from 1 species